UACAGAGGGUGCAAGCGUUAAUCGGAAUUACUGGGCGUAAAGCGUGCGUAGACGGUUGUGUAAGUCAGAUGUGAAAGCCCCGGGCUCAACCUGGGAAUUGCAUUUGAGACUGCAUAGCUAGGGUGCGGAAGAGGGAAGCGGAAUUCCGGUGUAGCGGUGAAAUGCGUAGAUAUCGGAAGGAACACCAGUGGCGAAAGCGGCUUCCUGGUCCAGCACCGACGUCAGGCACGAAAGCGUGGGGAGCAAACAGG
rnacentral:rRNA from 1 species